UCUCCGUUGGUGAACCAGCGGAGGGAUCAUUACCGAGUUUACAACUCCCAAACCCCUGUGAACAUACCUAUACGUUGCCUCGGCGGAUCAGCCCGCGCCCCGUAAAAAGGGACGGCCCGCCCGAGGACCCCUAAACUCUGUUUUUAGUGGAACUUCUGAGUAAAACAAACAAAUAAAUCAAAACUUUCAACAACGGAUCUCUUGGUUCUGGCAUCGAUGAAGAACGCAGCAAAAUGCGAUAAGUAAUGUGAAUUGCAGAAUUCAGUGAAUCAUCGAAUCUUUGAACGCACAUUGCGCCCGCCAGUAUUCUGGCGGGCAUGCCUGUUCGAGCGUCAUUUCAACCCUCAAGCUCAGCUUGGGUGUUGGGACUCGCGGUAACCCGCGUUCCCCAAAUCGAUUGGCGGUCACGUCGAGCUUCCAUAGCGUAGUAAUCAUACACCUCGUUACUGGUAAUCGUCGCGGCCACGCCGUAAAACCCCAACNUNCUGAAUGUUGACCUCGGAUCAGGUAGGAAUACC
rnacentral:rRNA from 1 species